rfam:Eubacterium sp. CAG:38 genomic scaffold, scf43
AAUGCCGGGGCUUUUUUUGAUGGGUGCGCCUGGCGGCGCACGUUUCUAAGUAUCACGGACAGAAAUCUGAUACAAGGCGUACAUGGUGGAUGAGCUGACUUAGGACAGCAAAGUCCAAAAGGCAACCGUAACCCAUGUAUGUAGAUCAGGCAAGUAGACGAGGAAAGACUGGCAG